UCAUGUCUGCUACCGGAGUAACUAUAGCACCAUCUCGUGAUAUUUUCCACGAAUCUCAUGCGUAGAAAUAUCUGUAGAUCAGUAAGAACGCUUCUUAUAUCGGUAGCUCGAACUUAGCACCUCUACUGGUGAUUUGUGGUAUUUGAUUGUCGAGAUGGGAUCUGCUUAAUCGAUUGAGCAUGAUAUUGACGUUUAAAAUAAAAACUGAAAAUGGUUUAGUGUCUUUUCUUUAGCAAAAUAUGUAUGUACCAUUUUCUUGUAUCAUCUAUGCAUUUUUAAAUACAUUUGAUUAAAUAUACUGUGAUUGAUUUUCUCAAAAAGUGAAUAAGUUUUCUCUUAUUUUUCUAAGAAAAGUUUGCGAUGUCAGCAGUGACGUCAUCUCAGAAGACUUUGUCUGUGUGUUUAUGGAAAGAAUACGCAGCGACUAACAAGCAAAUGCACGUGUGACGACUCGAUUUCGCUUUUGGCGUAUUUCGUUGCAAUAGUGCUCGAUACUCUGUACGCAAUUAAAUCUCUGAAGAUUAUACCUGAUUGAUAACUUAUCGUUAAUCGUCUAUUCGUGAGUAUAUACAGCGUCCAUUAUCAUGUCAAAAUUGAUUGAUGAGAAAAAUUAAGAAAAAUUAGUCAAUAAAAAGUAUUGAUAGAUCAUGCACGUUAAGUGAAACGGUUAAACAGAAUAAUAAAAAAAUGUUACGACUAUGUGUUUUUAAAUUCACCGACUAGUAAUCGCUAUUAUUAGUUCCUACUAAAAUAACUGUUUUUUUAUCCGCGUUAUAUAUGCAGAUAAGAUAAAGAAGAACAUUUCAACCAUUUGUAUCGGUGGAAAAUCGUCUUGUCAAUUUCUAAUUGCGCAUGUGUUAAUAUCAAGAACUCUUCACGAUAUAUGCAUAUCUUGUACGUCUCGUCUUUUUUACAAGGAAGAUCGAUACGUGAUUUGUUAACCUCGAAAACGCCACGAACAAGGCUUAACCUACAUGUUAACCGAGAAAAUCAAGCGAACGUGAAACAGGCAAAACAACGAUUCUCCGUGUAUUCUUCGAGCACAUGUGAGGCAGAUUGCUCCCGCGGCACCGAUUUACGAAACGGCAAUGACAUUCCAUGGCGUCGUAAUUUUUCCAAUCGGGUAACGUUUCAAAUGUAGCCGCUAAGUCGAGGCCUUGGCUAUAGGCAGAAGUUAGCUCAAGGACGACGACCGCCUGUCUAUUCGAAUUUCAUCAUGGUGUGAAGCUAAGCAGGUGAAUGUCAGCCCCUUACGCCUCAUGCCCGUAAUGAGACAUAUCUUUCAGGCAUAACACCGUGCUCAGUAGAUGGACCUGAUUUGGUUAAAAAUAACGAUUAUGUAAAAUGUUAUCAGCGAAUAUGAAAAAGAAUAAGUAAAUAUGUAGGCUGAUAGAUAGUCUUUAAUUAAAACUUUUGACAUUUUGUAGUGUCAUGUUGGAGAUAAUUAGAGUACAGACGCUUAUAGAUUGGAAAAUUGAAAGAUCAUUGAAAAUUUAAGAUAUCCAAAAAAGCUCGUAUAAUAUUUAGAGGAUUUUAGUUGAAUUUAUAAAUUUCAAAUUUAUU